GUCCUCACAUUGGCAGCACAUAUACUAGAAUUGUAACAGUACAGAGAAUUAGCAUGGCUCCUACUCAAGGAUUACACACAGAUUCUUGAAGCAUUCCAUAUAUUU
ensembl:snRNA LOC120102595 U6 spliceosomal RNA